rnacentral:rRNA from 1 species
UACGUAGGGUGCGAGCGUUGUCCGGAAUUAUUGGGCGUAAAGGGCUCGUAGGCGGUUUGUCGCGUCGGGAGUGAAAACCCAGGGCUUAACCCUGGGCUGGCUUCCGAUACGGGCAGACUAGAGGUAUGCAGGGGAGAACGGAAUUCCUGGUGUAGCGGUGAAAUGCGCAGAUAUCAGGAGGAACACCGGCGGCGAAGGCGGUUCUCUGGGCAUUACCUGACGCUGAGGAGCGAAAGUGUGGGGAGCGAACAGG